AGAAGCGACGCAUGCGCCC
rnacentral:snRNA from 1 species